UCCCUGGUAGCUCAGUGGCAGAGCAGCUGGCUGUUAACCAGUGUGUCGUUGGUUCGAAUCCAACCCCGGGGAG
rnacentral:tRNA from 1 species